rnacentral:misc_RNA from 1 species
GAUGAAGAACGUAGCGAAAUGCGAUACGUAAUGUGAAUUGCAGAAGUCAGUGAAUCAUCGAAUCUUUGAACGCAUAUUGCGCUCUCUGGUAUUCCGGAGAGCAUGCUUGUUUGAGUAUCAGUAAACACCUCAACUCUUUUUUCUUUUUUGAAAUUGGAGCUGGACUUGAGUGAUCCCAACGCUUUCUUCCAAGAAAGUGGCGGGUUGCUUGAAAUGCAGGUGCAGCUGAACUUUUCUCUGAGCUAUAAGCAUAUCUAUUUAGUCUGCCUAAAAAACAGAUUAUUACCUUUGCUGCAGCUAACAUAAAGGAGACUAGUUCUUGUGCUGACUGAUGCAGGAUUCACAGAGACAGCUUCGGCUGACUUUGUAAACUCGAUCUCAAAUCAAGUAAGACUACCCGCUGAACUUAAGCAUAUCAAUAAGCGGAGGA